AUUGAACGCUGGCGGCAUGCCUUACACAUGCAAGUCGAACGGCAGCACGGGAGCAAUCCUGGUGGCGAGUGGCGAACGGGUGAGUAAUAUAUCGGAACGUGCCCAGUCGUGGGGGAUAACGUAGAGAAAUUUACGCUAAUACCGCAUACGAUCUAAGGAUGAAAGACGGGGACCGGUAAGGCCUCGCGCGAUUGGAGCGGCUGAUAUCAGAUUAGGNGUUGGUGAGGUAAAGACUCACCAAGCCGACGAUCUGUAGCUGGUUUGAGAGAACGACCAGCCACACUGGGACUGAGACACGGCCCAGACUCCUACGGGAGGCAGCAGUGGGGAAUUUUGGACAAUGGGCGAAAGCUGAUCCAGCAAUGCCGCGUGCA
rnacentral:rRNA from 1 species